GACGGAAGGUGCAAGCGUUGCUCGGAAUCACUGGGCGUAAAAGGGUGCGUAGGCGGCCGUGCAAGUCUGGCGUGAAAGCCCCGGGCUCAGCCCGGGAAGUGCGCUCGAAACUGCGCGGCUCGAGUGCCGGAGGGGAGAGUGGAAUUCCUGGUGUAGCGGUGAAAUGCGUAGAUAUCAGGAGGAACAUCGGUGGCGAAAGGCG
rnacentral:rRNA from 1 species